CCGUCGGCGUACACGGACGAACCGGACUGGACGGGCGUGCCUAAACACAUGCAAGUCAACGGAACUUAGUUGAAGGAAUCUUCGGAAGGACAUGGUUAAGUUUAGUGGCGGACGGGUGAGUAACGCGUGAGUAACCUGCCUCCGAGAGGGGAAUAACAAUCUGAAAAGAUUGCUAAUACCGCAUAACAUAGCGAAGUCGCAUGGCAGCGCUAUCAAAGAUUUAUCGCUCGGAGAUGGACUCGCGACCGAUUAGUUAGUUGGUGAGGUAACGGCUCACCAAGACCGCGAUCGGUAGCCGGACUGAGAGGUUCGAACGGCCACAUUGGGACUGAGACACGGCCCAGACUCCUACGGGAGGCAGCAGUGGGGGAUAUUGCGCAAUGGGGGAAACCCUGACGCAGCAACGCCGCGUGAAGGAUGAAGGUUUUCGGAUUGUAAACUUCUUUUAUUAAGGACGAAAAAAUGACGGUACUUAAUGAAUAAGCUCCGGCUAACUACGUG
rnacentral:rRNA from 1 species